CGGUACCGGGUGAGGAAGCACCGGCUAACUCCGUGCCAGCAGCCGCGGUAAUACGGAGGGUGCGAGCGUUGUCCGGAAUCAUUGGGCGUAAAGGGCGCGUAGGUGGCGGGACAAGCGUGCGGUGAAAGCUCGGGGCUCAACCCCGCGUCGGCCGUGCGAACUGUUUUACUUGAGCACUGUAGAGGCAGGCGGAAUUCCGGGUGUAGCGGUGGAAUGCGUAGAGAUCCGGAAGAACACCGGUGGCGAAGGCGGCCUGCUGGGCAGUGGCUGACACUGAGGCGCGACAGCGUGGGGAACAAACAGGAUUAGAUACCCUGGUAGUCCACGCCGUAAACGGUGGGAACUA
rnacentral:rRNA from 1 species